rnacentral:lncRNA from 1 species
UCAUACAUAUAGUGGCACACGCAGCCAGGUAUACAAAAUAUUCUACAAUGACAUGUGGGCCCCCAAAAUAAACAUAUAUGUACAAGACUAUAGACUUGCGAUUUCUAAGGGUGUAAACCCAAAAGCAAACCCUCAACAUAAUCAGUGAUCUACAAACUGCUCUAAGCCUGAAAUGGGUGAAAAGAAGGGGUGAGUUUUUAUAAAUCUAGUGAGUAAGCAAAAUUCAUCUAUAACAUCUAAAGCUGAGUAAAUGGAGACAAUUUAAAACAUCUCAUCAUAAUAUGAUUCAUAACAUCAAAUCUCAUUUCAACCCACAUAUAUCAAUUUCAUUUCAUCAAAAUCAACAAGGCUUAUGAUUCUUUUAAAACUUGGCUCGUGCCAAAAACUUGCACUCGGUGACACCUUGCGUCGAGGCAUCCAACCGAGUCUGUCAAGGCUGUUAAAAUAACAUAUGAGUAUACAACUCAUUCUUUUACAUUUAAAAGCACAGUCGUUCCUUGGCGUUGGUUGAGUUUCACCAUCACGUGGUGGUUCGGCGUGAGGUGAACUCUAACUUUACCUUAGGAGAUACCCUCCACGCCUCUCAUACUAAGGUAAAAUAUAAUGGGGUUUAUCGUGCCCUUCUAAUAGGCUAGUCCACGAAAACCCGUCCACUGCAGUAAGCUAAUCAAAUAACCCACCAAUUCAAUAAAAUUUCAGCAGCAUAACAUGGCUAACAUAAUAUUACCAGCCUAUCAAGGCAAAGUAAAACAGUUCAUAAAUUCCACACAAACACAAAUCUAGCCAUGCUUGCCAUCACAUUGUCAUAAGCCAUCAAUUCAAACCAUAUGUCAAAACAUAUAUAUAACACAAGUAUACAGUCUCCACUUACUCAAUUUCCAAAACCAGUAUUCAAUUUCAAAACAAGUUAUAAAUCUCAUUUCGUUUAAUCAACACUUCAAUUUUAAAGCAUAAUAGUUUACAAUUUAAAUUCAUUUUUCUUUAAAACAUACAAACGAGUAUAAACUACUUUAGAUAGUUAAGAUGAAAGUUUGAUUACUCACGAUAGCAAGAGUUUGAAGUACUCCUAUUCUUGAUCCUUGGGCACAAUAUCUUUACCCUUAUCAAAGGGCUCACCACCUAUACAUAAUACACGACACGUAAUUCAAUAUAUUUGUGCCAAACUGUUAUAAAACUAUUUCAGGCUCUACAUGAGUGCAUAAAAUUGAAUGAAAAGUGUUUGAAUAAUCACUUAAAGAUGGUGUUCUACGUAGGUUCAAUUGUUGUUGGAUUGAAAUGGUAUUCGACCUAACUCGCCCUAUACACUGUUCAAUUAACCAAAACAUCCAAUUCAACUCAAAAUAGAUUCAUUGCACUUCCGAUACUUCAAUAAAUCUGUAUACCUCUUUAAAAAUCAAUUCUAAGUCUAUUUACUAAAAUUUUCUCAUUAUCGUUCAAGUCGUUUACUAAAGAAACAAUACUUUUUGAUAACCGUUUUUGAUAUCCAACAUCACGAAUCAUCAAAUACGAGCUAGAUAACAUGAAAUUUAACAAGAUUAAUCAUCAAUAUAUCCCUUAUUAAAUUCGGCCAAGGAGGGUUUGGUGAAGGACAUAUGGUUUUCAUGCUUGUUUUUCACACCGAGUAUCACAAAACAACUAAAAACGCGUAUAUAGCAUGAAAUCUAACAAAACCCGUGAUCAAAACCUCCCCCCUUAGGUUCAACCAACAAACUUUCCUUCAUGAAAUCUUGAGUUUCAACUAUGGAAAAUGAAAAAGAGAGCAUGGGAAAGGUAGAUCUUAAGCUAAAUUGAAAAAUCUUACCUUUGAUUGCUUUGUCCUUUGAAAUUCCACAAAUUUCUCUUGAAUUUUCCUCUCUAGGGUUUGUUUCCAUUCUUUUCUCUUUGUUCUUUGCUUUGGGCGGCC